rnacentral:rRNA from 1 species
GUGGGGAAUAUUGGACAAUGGGCGAAAGCCUGAUCCAGCCAUGCCGCGUGUGUGAAGAAGGUCUUCGGAUUGUAAAGCACUUUAAGUUGGGAGGAAGGGCAGUAAGUUAAUACCUUGCUGUUUUGACGUUACCGACAGAAUAAGCACCGGCUAACUUCGUGCCAGCAGCCGCGGUAAUACGAAGGGUGCAAGCGUUAAUCGGAAUUACUGGGCGUAAAGCGCGCGUAGGUGGUUCGUUAAGUUGGAUGUGAAAGCCCCGGGCUCAACAUGGGAACUGCAUCCAAAACUGGCGAGCUAGAGUACGGUAGAGGGUGGUGGAAUUUCCUGUGUAGCGGUGAAAUGCGUAGAUAUAGGAAGGAACACCAGUGGCGAAGGCGACUACCUGGACUGAUACUGACACUGAGGUGCGAAAGCGUGGGGAGCAAACAGGAUUAGAAACCCCUGUAGUCC